CCUACGGGUGGCAGCAGUAGGGAAUCUUCCACAAUGGGCGAAAGCCUGAUGGAGCAACGCCGCGUGGGUGAAGAAGGUCUUCGGAUCGUAAAACCCUGUUGUUAGAGAAGAAAGUGCGUGAGAGUAACUGUUCACGUUUCUACCGUAUCUAACCAGAAAGGCACGGCUAACUAAGUGCCCGCAGCCGCGGUAAUACGUAGGUGGCAAGCGUUAUCCGGAUUUAUUGGGCGUAAGGGGAGCGCAGGCGGUCAGUUAAGUCUGACGUGAAAGGCUUCGGCUUAACCGGAGUAGUGCAUUGGAAACUGGGAGUCUUGAGUUCAGAAGAGGAGAGCGGAACUCCAGGUGUAGCGGUGAAAUGCGUAGAUAUAUGGAAGAACACCAGUGGCGAAGGCAGCUCUCUGGUCUGUAACUGACGCUGAGGUUCGAAAGCGUGGGUAGCAAACAGGAUUAGAUACCCUUGUAGUC
rnacentral:rRNA from 1 species